UACGUAGGGGGCAAGCGUUGUCCGGAUUCAUUGGGCGUAAAGAGCUCGUAGGCGGCUUGGCAAGUCGGGUGUGAAAACUCCAGGCUCAACCUGGAGACGCCACCCGAUACUGCCAUGGCUUGAGUCCAGUAGGGGACCACGGAAUUCCUGGUGUAGCGGUGAAAUGCGCAGAUAUCAGGAGGAACACCGGUGGCGAAGGCGGUGGUCUGGGCCGGUACUGACGCUGAGGAGCGAAAGCGUGGGGAGCGAACGGG
rnacentral:rRNA from 1 species